AGCGAACGCUGGCGGUAGGCCUAACACAUGCAAGUCGAACGGCAGCACAGUAAGAGUUUGCUCUUAUGGGUGGGGAGUGGCGGACGGGAGAGGAAUACAACGGAAUCUACUCUUUCGUGGGGGAUAACGUAGGGAAACCUACGAUAAUACAGCAUACGAUGUACGGGUGAAAGCAGGGGAACUUCGCACCUUGUGGGAAUGAACGAGCGGAUGUGGGAUUAGCUGGUUGGGGGGGUAAAGGCCCACCCAGGCGACGAUCCGUAGCUGGACAGAGGGGAUGAUCGCCCGCACUAGAGCUGAGACACGCACCUGGCUCCUACGGGACGCAGCAGUGUGGAAUGUUGGACAGUAGUCGCGAGCCUUACCCAGCCGGACCGCGUGUGUUGAGGAGGCCUUCGGGUUGUGAAGCCCUUUUGUUGGGAGAGAAAAGCAGCAGGUUGUGACCCCGCUUUUCUGACGGUACCCGAUAAAUAAGCACCGGCUAACUUCGUG
rnacentral:rRNA from 1 species